AGUGAACGCUGGCGGUAGGCCUAACACAUGCAAGUCGAACGGCAGCACAGUAAGAGCUUGCUCUUACGGGUGGCGAGUGGCGGACGGGUGAGGAAUACAUCGGAAUCUACUUUUUCGUGGGGGAUAACGUAGGGAAACUUACGCUAAUACCGCAUACGACCUACGGGUGAAAGCAGGGGAUCUUCGGACCUUGCGCGAUUGAAUGAGCCGAUGUCGGAUUAGCUAGUUGGCGGGGUAAAGGCCCACCAAGGCGACGAUCCGUAGCUGGUCUGAGAGGAUGAUCAGCCGCACUGGAACUGAGACACGGUCCAGACUCCUACGGGAGGCAGCAGUGGGGAAUAUUGGACAAUGGGCGCAAGCCUGAUCCAGCCAUACCGCGUGGGUGAAGAAGGCCUUCGGGUUGUAAAGCCCUUUUGUUGGGAAAGAAAAGCAGCAGGUUAAUACCCAGCUGUUCUGACGGUACCCAAAGAAUAAGCACCGGCUAACUUCGUG
rnacentral:rRNA from 1 species